rnacentral:tRNA from 1 species
GGAGAAAUACUCAAGAGGCCGAAGAGGCGCCCCUGCUAAGGGUGUAGGUCGGUUCAAACCGGCGCGAGGGUUCAAAUCCCUCUUUCUCCG